UUCGAUUACAUGCUUCAAGUUUGAGCUUCACAUUCAAUAAGGUCCAAGAGGCACCUAGAAGUAAAGAUAAAGCAAAAGAUGAGGAUUUCAGCAGUAAGCAGUAGCUCAGCAAAUCAACACAACCACUUUUAGCUUCCUUAAACCAGUUUUAGGACCCAGAUAGUUCAGAAAUCCCUUGAAACUCUUAAACUACUGCUAACAAUGAAACCAAAGAACAAUUCUUAGCAAUUUUAACCCAAAAAGAUGUAGAAACUUUGAAUACCUUUUCAGAGUAUGAAUUUUAUCUUUCUUAGAAGUUUAUGUGCAGAAAAAUGAGGCUUGAAAUCUGGUCUUGAGUGAAGGAAAUGCCGCCUCUUUAUAGGCUUAAAGAAAAUCCCAUGUGCUGAAACAGAAUUCGGAAUAUUUCUGAAACAAAUCAAUAUUACUAACUAACUUAUUGCUAACAAGACAAGUGAAAACAGAAUUAAACGAAACUAAAAAAAACUAAAUAAGAUAGUGGCCUAACGACAUUUUUUUUCUUUUUGUUUUCACAAACAUGAAUCAGAAAAAGAAAAGCGAAGAAAAGGUUGUACCUUCAAGUUCUUUUCACGAUCCAAGCACGAGAUCCAAAUGAUUGUUCUUGACAAAGAAUAAUUAUUUGGGGUGGGUUUCGGACUAUCGAAUAGAAUAAAAUCAUGGAGGAGUGACCAUGCCAGAACCAGUGUUCCUUUUUUAUUUAUUUUCAGAUUCGAUUUUUGUCUGGUUUCAGGCGUAUUUGGGGGAAAUAACUCAUGGAUUUGGAAAGGAGGGGUGAAGGUGGUUGUGUGGUAAAAAUCUGAAGGUGUUUGGAGAGAUUAGAGUUUGGGGACUCCGGUCUUCGAUCUAAAACUAGAAGGGCUCGAUGAUGAUUUGAAGGAAGCAGGUUGGAGAUUUGGGAUGAGGGGAUGAAAGAGAUUCUGGGGUGUUAAGUUGAAGGGGAUUGGAAUGGUUUACGCCAUCGUUGUCGGCCGGUGGGGGGUUUGGGAAUUUAGGGCGGCUAGGGUUUGGGUUCUUAGAAAUUGGGAGAUGAAACGAGGCAG
rnacentral:lncRNA from 1 species